GGAGAUGGGUCUUAGCUCAGUGGUAGAGCCCCUGCUUGGCUUGCAGAUGUUCUCUGGUUCAAUCUCCAGUGCCCUCUCCA